UACGAAGGGUGCAAGCGUUACUCGGAAUUACUGGGCGUAAAGCGUGCGUAGGUGGUUUGUUAAGUCUGUUGUGAAAGCCCCGGGCUCAACCUGGGAAUGGCAAUGGAUACUGGCAGGCUAGAGUGCGGUAGAGGGUAGUGGAAGUUCCUGGUGUAGCAGUGAAAUGCGUAGAUAUCAGGAGGAAUACCGAUGGCGAAGGCAGGUCUCUGGGCUGACACUGACGCUCAUGCACGAAAGCGUGGGGAGCAAACAGG
rnacentral:rRNA from 1 species